GCCUUCGUGGACCAUGGUGAUCGCCUCGCUUGCAUAUAGUGUAUGUGGAUGACAUGGAACGAGGGAAAGGAGGUUCGAUUCCUCCCGAAGGCA